rnacentral:tRNA from 3 species
GCGAGGGUAGCUCAGCUGCUUAGAGCAAAGGACUGAAAAUCCUUGUGUCAGUGGUUCGAUUCCACAACCCUUUUU